rnacentral:rRNA from 1 species
UACGUAGGGUGCAAGCGUUGUCCGGAAUUAUUGGGCGUAAAGAGCUCGUAGGCGGUUUGUUGCGUCGGCUGUGAAAUCCCGAGGCUCAACCUCGGGUCUGCAGUCGAUACGAGCAAACUAGAGUGUUGCAGGGGAGACUGGAAUUCCUGGUGUAGCGGUGAAAUGCGCAGAGUAUCAGGAGGAACACCGGUGGCGAAGGCGGAUCUCUGGGCCUUACCUGACGCUGGAGGCGCGAAAGCGUGGGUAGCAAACAGG